UGAGGAAACUGUGAAAUUGUUUGGCAAUAACAUUAUUACUUCAUGUUCAUUUAAAAAUGAGAUUUAAUGAGAUAUUUUUCAUUUGUGUCAUUAAAAUUUCUGGGUGUUUGUUCUAAAAGUUUAAGCAGUUAUAUUUAGAAAGAAACAGUAAAACCUUUAAAGGUAACCAAGCCUUCAUAUCAAAGCACUAAAGCUCUCAAAAAAAAAAAAAAAUGAAGAGCUUUAAAAAGGGAUGCCAUUUUUAGCAAUGGUUGUGUUGCACUUGGCUUCCACACCCUGCACAGCUGCUGGCUGUGCCACCACUGCAGCCUGUGCCUGCUCUGAGUUUGGGCAGUACCUCUCUGUGUUUCUCAGAUGCCUCUUUUGUGCAGCAAUGUUAUGGAAUAUUAACAAUCACCGGUGCCUAAUUAGCUCAUUUUGCUUUGAACUCGGGUCCUUGUCAGCUUUGAUUGACACUCUUAAUUGUGACUCUCCUGAGCUCUGUUUUUAAAAAUGUUUGCACACAUCAGACAUUUGAUUUAGCUGACUUAUUCUCACCGUGGUUAAAUACUAAUCUGUGCAUUUGAAUUAUGGGUUUUUUCCUUCCCUAGAACCUGUGCCAUGGUUGUCCCUGACAUUGAGCUGGUCUCUGGAAUGAUGUUGGCUGCUGAAGGGUUUAUUGAUGCCUGUCUGUUAGCCAGGAAGUUCAUCACCUUCCAGCCUCUCUGCAGGGAGCUGCUCCCUGAACAGGCGUGAUCAGUGACCUGUUUCCAUCUCUGGAUGUUCUGAGGAUGGGGAACCUACAGUCUGAGCAGAUGGUUAAACAAUCUACCCUGGAGCUGUACUUGCAGCCAGAAGAGAACUUUAUUCUCAAAGAACAUCCACAUCUGCUGUACGUUCGUCCAAGGCAGCACGUCCUUACCUUCAUUGGAGUAUAUUGGAAAUAACCCAGCUAGUUGAAUGUUACUGAUCAGAGGAUUUAUAAAGGAUUUUUGACUCUUCUCUCCUAUUCCAUUAUCCUGACAGAAGGGUGAAAAACAGUAAGGUAUGCCUUGAGGUAUUAUGAACUCACAAUCAGCCUUCUAACAGAGUAUUUGUUUUCCUGCUAACUGAGUAAAUCAGAAGACAAGCACUGAGGAUCAUGAACUUGUUCCUGUUAGGCUUUGGAAAAUCAGAAUGAAUACUCUUCACUAAAACAGAAAUCCACAAGCAGCCAAGCUAUUUCUAUUCUGUGACUCAAAUAACUAUUUCUUUGGAAGCAUUGUAUUGCUUUAGGAGACUGUCUGUAUUUUCCAGCUGUACAACUGAUUGCAGAAUCCACUCUGCCAAAGCAGUGGCAAAAUUGUGGUAACUCUUCUGUGUCCUUGGGUUUCCACAGUCCUGCUGGACUGUGUGGCUGUCUGGCAGAAUAAGAUUUGUUCUCACUUGCUGAGGUAACUGCUUUAAUUCUUUUGCACUAACUCUUACCAUUUUCUGAGUGACUGUGUUGCUUGAUGCAACAUUAGCUUUGCUGAGGCAAAUCUGCCAAGAAAGUGCGAGCUUUUUUUUUUUUUCCUAUUAAAGGGAAUAAGAAUGCAGAGAGGGAAAAAAUCUUGUGAAUAAUUGUGUCUCUGUGAUAAGAACCACAGCAGGAGAGGAGGGGUGCUCCCUGUGUGUCCUUUCUGUGUGUAAGGAUGUUCAGCUGGAGGAGCAGCCAGCAGUGUGUCACUCUGUGUUUGUCGGUGGAAUUGCAGGGAAUGGGAAGGGUAAGGUACCUGCCUGCCUAUGCAGCAUGUUUUCCAUCUCACCUUGUAAAGAAACUGCCACGGCUCUUGCAUGAAAAAUUCUUCAUGUUGCCUUUGCCUGAGGCUGCAGGGUAAUAACACACUGCUGAGGCCGCUCGGUCAGCUGAAUGAUGAGCACUAGAAAGUGCAAAUGUUGCAAGCAAAUUCUACAUUUUAUGUGCUGUUUGCAUGUCCCAAAGGACAGUUAAUCACGGCAUGAAGUAAUGAGCAUUCAAUUUGACAGAUAGACUAAGUAAUACUUUGUUCUGGAAGGAGAAGUAGGAUGUUUUAAUUAGACUCCUAGACAGACGUCAUGGAAUGUCCUGCCAAAACACUAGACAAAUAAUUCUAAUACAUAAUGCUUGCUUAUUUAUGCUACUAAAUGUUGGCAGCUGCAUAGAUUUUCUUCUCCAUUUAACACUUUCCAUUAGAAUUGAGUGCAGAAUAUGGCUAUUUCAGACUGGGAAUCUCCUUUUCUGUCCUUAGGCUUAAUGGAAAUUUGGGGCUAAACUAGCACAGAGACAAGAAUAAAUUAAUGUAAACUGUUGGCUGAGUACAGGGUUUCAGUCCAAGCUCCAGUUCAGAAAAAAGUGAACAAUUCCUACUAUAUGAAAAUGAUGCUACUAACAUUCACCCUGCUCCUUCCCUUCUGGUCCUGAAAGUUCUUCAUCACAUGUAUGCGAACACAAAUUCCCAUUUGGAAUUGACUUUUAAUGCAGAAGUUCUGUCAGCUGAUGAACUGUGUGGUUUCAUACACCAGGAAACCUGAGAGUGGAAGGAUGGCAAGGAACACAUUUGCUCUUGCCAGGAUGUCAUUCUCCGUCCAAAAUGGACAAUACCAGAAUUCAGAGAAAAUAUAAGAGAUAGAAUUCUUCCAUUUUUCUGAGGUUUUGGUGCAGCGGGACGUGGAUGCAGAGCACUGGUGGUUCUGGAAAGGCUGGAGGGCAGGAUAGGAUGCUGGUAGACAGAAGGUAUGCACAGUUCUA